GCAGCCGCGGUAAUACGGGGGGUGCAAGCGUUGCUCGGAAUCACUGGGCGUAAAGGGUCCGUAGGCGGGACAAUAAGUCAGUGGUGAAAGUCUGCAGCUUAACUGUAGAAUUGCCGUUGAAACUGUUGUUCUUGAGUAAUUAUGAAGUGGUUAGAAUAUGUAGUGUAGCGGUGAAAUGCAUAGAUAUUACAUAGAAUACCGAUUGCGAAGGCAGAUCACUAAUAAUUCACUGACGCUGAUGGACGAAAGCGUAGGUAGCGAA
rnacentral:rRNA from 1 species